rnacentral:tRNA from 2 species
GGCUCCUUGGUCAAGCGGUUAAGACACCGCCCUUUCACGGCGGUAACACGGGUUCGAGCCCCGUAGGAGUCA